UUGGCCCUAAAUCAAGGCCAUCGGUUUGCUGUAGCCGUUGGUUUCAAGCAGGAGCCCAGAGGAAACAUCUCCCGGUCUGUUGGUGUUCCCAUCCCCAUGGAACAGCCAAUUCGUGUGGGAGCAACAAGA
rnacentral:snoRNA from 1 species